rnacentral:rRNA from 1 species
GACGAACGCUGGCGGCGUGCUUAACACAUGCAAGUCGAACGGAAAGGCCCCUUUGGGGGUACUCGAGUGGCGAACGGGUGAGUAACACGUUAGUAACCUUCCCUUGACUUCGGGAUAACUGCAGGAAACUGGGGCUAAUACCGGAUAGGAAUCCUUGCUGCAUGGUGGGGGUUGGAAAGCUUCGGCGGUUUUGGAUGGACUCGCGGCUUAUCAGCUUGUUGGUGGGGUAGUGGCUUACCAAGGCGUUGACGGGUAGCCGGACUGAGAGGGCGACCGGCCACAUUGGGACUGAGAUACGGCCCAGACUCCUACGGGAGGCAGCAGUGGGGAAUAUUGCACCAUGGGCGGAAGCCUGAUGCAGCAACGCCGCGUGCGGGAUGACGGCCUUAGGGUUGUAAACCGCUUUCAGCAGGGGCGAAGCUUGUGGUGACGGUACCUGCAGAAGAAGCACCGGCUAACUACGUG